AAUAUUAGAAGAAUAUGUAUCAAAAUACACUGAUCAUAUGCCUAAGUCGAAAUUCUGUGUGAAGCAACAUGCUUCGACACUUCGACACACUAACAAAACUCAACACACUAGGUGGUUCGACACUUCUUUCCUCUGUCGAGCAACCUGUUUCGACACAAGGAAUUAUAAUUCAACAUACCACCUAAUUCAUUGUGUCUAAGCUAUCUAUAUUCAUCAUAACUCUUAGUCUUCUGAACACUUCGACCUGAACUCCCUUUGUCAUGAUGUCUGCAAUCUGAUUCUCAGUUCUGUAGUGUUCCACAUUCAUUUUCCCAUCUUCUAUCUGCUCUCAAAGAUAAUGGAACCUCGUUUUGAUGUGCUUUCUUCGACCAUGUGCUAUCGGAUUCUUCGCCAAAUUGAUAGCUGACAUGUUGUCGAUCUUCAUGGUAAUUGCUUCAGGACUCUUCGAUGUUAUCUCUUCGACCAGAUUCACCAUCCAUGUUACUUGACAUGCACAAAGAGAAGCAGCUAUGUAUUCUUGUUCACACAAUGAUAAUGCCACUACUGGCUCUUUUCUCGAACUCCAAGCAACUGGUGCAAAAACUUCAUCGAAGUCCAUUCCUUCUUUAUGAAGAAAUCCUUUCGCCACAAGUCUCACCUUGUGUCGAAUCACUUCUCCUUUGGGAUUCAACUUCACCUUGUAUACCCACUUCACAUCGAUUGCCUUCUUGUUCUGGGGUAAUUCGACAAGUGACCAAGUGUUGUUGACUUUGAUUGACUUCAGCUAUUCGUCCAUUACUUUCAUCCACUUCGAAUCUUUCAAUGUCUCAGUUGUAUUGACAGGUUCGACAUCUGCGUAGAAAGCAUAAUGUACCAGCUCACCUUCUUCAUUGACCACAUCAUCUGAUGUAAUCACACAUUCUUUAAACCUUCCAGGCACGUGUCUUGUUCUUUGAGGUUUGAUUGGAUAUCAUUCAUAACAGAAUUUACAUGCCGGCAUGAAAUCAAUCCAUUAAUUAUCAUGUAACACAACAAAUUAUGACAUAGUUAUUCAAGUGAAAUCCACCAUAAAUUGCAUAAUUAAACUCCACAUUCUAAAUAUUUAGAUUUUUCUGCUAAAACCUCCUUCUAACAUGAUUUCAAAGCAACUAACCUAGAUUACUAACACGCUCCCGUAUUCAAUAGCCUUGCAAAUCCGUCUUUUCAAAUUGAUCCCUACAAAACCAAAUUCUCCUCCAAUUUCAACUAAUGUCACUCUUCCAAACCAAUAACACUUAACCGCUACAUUUAGCAUGAACAAUAGCAUCUUCUAUAAACAUAAACAAAGCAAAAAAACCAUCACAGCAAAACAGCUCAUCCAUCAUACUAGCAGCCCUGUAACUAGAUUCAAUGCACUCACUUCAAACUAACAUAAGCAGUGCACUGAUUCAACCAUUUCCAUAACAGAAAUUCAUCUUUAAUUUAGAUUUCUACUGAAUUGUAUAUGUGCAACUAAUAAUUAAAUUGCAUUUGGAAUUAAAAAUAAUUUUCAUAACACAAUCCUAACAGGUUUGUUAGCUAACCUUCUCCUUUAUUAACUAACCCAACCGACUCAUAAAUGUUUUUCUAACAGCCUGAACUAACUUAACAAACUGCUAAAAUAACCAACUCCAACAGAAUAGCAUUUGGCUUUUGAAUCGAAGGUUCUAUAAAUAGAUACCUAUAUUGUGAUUGGAGGGAUAUAGAUCAUUUUCACAAAAAAUAAAAACUCUUCACGCUUCAUUCUUCAUGGCGCUUCACGCACUUCAUCUUCAUGCUUCAUCUUUCUCUCAGUUUUUGAACUGCAAGAGAAUUUGCAGAAACUGAACCUCUCUAUUGAACCCUCUCAUCCUUCAACCUUUCAUCUCCACACAUUCUUCUAUCUUCAUCACAUCCUCAACCUUCAUUGGCAACGACCACACAUCACUGCAAUAAUUCAGAAGAACCAAGAAUGAGAAUUCGAGCAGAGGAAGACGAUUAACGAAAGCAGAAAGUGACAAGUGAAACAAAGAGAAGAGAAAUAUAACCAGUUUGAAAAGCAGAGCAACGUACCGCCGCGCCAAAUUUAAAACACCAUGAGUUUAUCUCGACUCAAUUUGUGGCACGUUUCUUCUGAUGUGCCAUACGAUUCAUUGAUGUCGAACACGGUAAAGACAACGAUUGUUUAGACUUGAUCUGGAUUUCUACUUGCUGUUGAACGUUUAACACGAGAAUCUUGGAGUACCUAUAAAGUGGCGCCUCGAUUCAUCUCACCUCGAUAAUGCGAGCGGGAUAAUCCACCUUCUGACUCGAUGAAGGAAUUCUCGAAAGCCAUAUCAUGGUGACGAUGCUGGAUUUCUAGCUUUCAAAUCGGUUCAUUGAAGGUGCGAGCAUCGAAACCUCCAUACCGGAUUCUUCUUGCGAACUUGUGGUGAGGCGUGGCGAACUGAACGAGAAGGUAGGAUCGGGCGCGACGGUGAGACCUUCGGAGUAUCGCGUCGGAGUCUAGAACGUGUCGAGGAUCGACGCGGCGAGGUCUUCGUCUUGAGUUAUCUCGAUAAUGCACAAGCCAUGUGACUUUUCAUUCUUUUCAAGCCAGGUUUCAACCAGUUAAUGCUUGGGCAUUGGGUUGAGGCCUUUUGGAGCCUUAAGCCCAAAUCGUCCAAAUGCUUCUCUGUGGGCCGAAGUGUUGCUAUCCACACCCCUAGCGCGACAUGCCCCAUGUCUUUGUUGUCUUAGACUAUUUCAGAAAAUUGGGCCCAGAAGAAUAUAGGUCUGCACUUUUGCUACUAGUUGCACCCCCAAUUCCAGGUUCUAAGCCCUCUUCCUUUUGCUGAGGAAGAAACUGAUGAAGAAGUAUCUGAUGAAUUGUCUCAUCUACUUGAGCACGGGGAAAAAGCCAUUUAGCCAUUCGAAGAGCAGAUUGAGUUAGUCAACAUGGGUUCCGAAGAUGAUGUGAAGGAAGUCAAGGUUGGGUCUCAACUGUGUCUAGAGGUUAAGAAGGGGUUGAUUGAUCUUCUUCGAGAGUAUUCAGAUGUGUUCGUCUGGUCCUAUCAAGACAUUCCUGGUCUGGAUUCUGAGAUUGUCGAGCAUAGAUUACCGUUGAAGCCAUAAUGCCCGCCAGUCAAGCAGAAGUUGAGGAGGACUCAUCCUGAUAUGGCAGUAAAGAUCAAAGAAGAAGUGCAGAAGUAGAUUGAUGAUGGUUUCCUUGUUACUGCCGAGUAUCCGCAAUGGGUGGCCAAUAUUGUGUCUGUUCCGAAGAAGGAUGGAAAAGUCUGUAUAUGCGUCGAUUAUAGAGAUUUGAAUAAAGCUAGUCUGAAAGAUGAUUUUCCUCUGCCACACAUUGAUAUGUUGGUAGAUAAUACAGCUAAAUUCAAAGUCUUUUCAUUUAUGGACGGAUUUUCCAAUUAUAAUCAGAUUAAAAUGGCACCCGAGGAUAUGCAGAAGACCACAUUCAUUACACCUUGAGGAACAUUAUGUUAUAGAGUGAUGCCUUUUGAUUUAAAGAAUGCUGGUGCAACUUACCAGAGAGCUAUGACCAUUCUUUUUUAUGAUAUGAUGCAUAAAGAGAUCGAAGUUUAUGUUGAUGAUAUGAUUGCCAAAUCGAGUGAUGAAGAAGAACAUGUUGAGCAUUUAUUGAAGCUAUUCCAGCGUUUGAGGAAGUACAAACUCCGCUUGAAUCCCAAUAAGUGUACAUUUGGUGUUCGUUCUGGUAAGUUGUUGGGCUUUAUUGUUAGUGAGAAGGGUAUUGAAGUUGAUCCUGCCAAGGUCAAAGCAAUACAAGAGAUGCCUGCACCCAAAACUGAGAAGUCAGUCAGAGGUUUUCUCGGUCGCUUGAAUUAUAUCUCAAGAUUCAUUUCGCAUAUGACUGCCACAUGUGCACCUAUAUUCAAGCUUCUUCGGAAAGAUCAGUCUUGUGAUUGGAUCGAGGAUUGCCAGAAAGCUUUUGACAAUAUCAAAAAGUAUCUGCUCGAGCCUCCGAUUUUGUCUCCGGCUGUUGAAGGAAGACCGUUGAUCAUGUAUUUGAAUGUGCUUGAAAAAAGUAUGGGUUGUGUUCUUGGUCAGCAAGAUGAAACUGAAAAGAAAGAAUAUGUUAUUUAAUACCCGAGUAAGAAGUUCACCAAUUAUGAGACUCGGUAUUCUAUGCUGGAAAAGACUUGUUGCGCAUUGGCUUGGGCUGCUAAGCGUCUGCGUCAAUAUAUGUUGAAUCAUAUCACUUGGUUGAUAUCCAAAAUGGAUCCAACCAAGUAUAUUUUUGGCAAGCCUGCUUUAAUUGGGAGGAUUGCCCGUUGGCAGAUGUUGUUAUCAGAGUAUGAUAUUUAAUACCGAUCUCAAAAAGUUAUCAAAGGUAGUGUCUUGGCUGACCAUUUGGCUCACCAACCAAUUGAAGAUUACCAGUCAGUGCAUUAUGAUUUUCCCGACAAAGAUUCUUGUACCUGAAGAUGAAAUAUUGUGAUGAACCAUUGCUUGAAGAAGGGCCAAAACCUGGUUCCCGGUGGGGGCAUGGUAUUUGAUGGAACUAUUAAUCAUUAUGGUAAUGGCAUUUGGGCAGUGAUUAUUACUCCUCAAGGCACGCAUUUUCCGUUUACAACUAGGUUAACUUUCAAGUGUACAAACAAUAUGGCUGAGUAUGAAGCUUGCAUUAUGGGGCUUGAAGAGUCCAUUGAUCUCAGAAUCAAGUAUUUGGAUGUCUAUGGAGAUUCAGCUUUGGUUGUGAAUCAGAUCAAAGGCGAAAAGGAGACAAAUCAAUUCGGUUUGAUACCAUAUAGAGAUUAUGCGAGGAGGAUUUCAACUUUCUUUACAAAGGUUGAAUUUCAUCAUAUCCCUCAAGAUAAAAACCAGAUGGCAGAUGCUCUUGCAACGUUGGCUUCAAUGAUUGUAGUGAAGUUUUGGAAUGAAGUUCCCAAUCUUACUGUGAUGCGUCUUGAUAGACCAGCGCAUGUGUUUGUUGUUGAAGAGAUCAAAGAUAAGAAGCCGUGGUAUUUUGAUAUCAAAUGUUUUCUCUAAGGUCAGAUUUACCCGCCUGGGGCAUCUCUGAAGGAUAAGAAGACUUUGAGGAGAUUAGCUGACAACUUCUACCUGAAUGGUGAUGUGCUUUACAAGAGAAACUUCGAUAUGGUUCUGCUCAGAUGGUUGGGUAUACAUGAAGCAGACUUAUUGAUGACUGAAGUACAUGAAGGUUCCUUUGGUACUCACUCCAAUGGACACGAUAUGGCUAAGAAGAUGUUGGGAGCAAGUUACUAUUGGUUGACAAUGGAAUCUGACUGUUGCAAGUUUGUGAAGAAAUUCCACAAGUGUCAAAUCUAUGCAGAUAAGAUUCAUGUUCCUCCGACACUAUUGAAUGUCAUUUACUCUCCAUGGUCUUUCUCUAUGUGGGGAAUUGAUAUGAUUGGUAUGAUUGAGCCCAAAGCUUCGAACAAACAUCGUUUCAUUCUGGUGGCUAUUAACUACUUCACAAAGUGGGUUGAAGAGGCAUCAUAUGUGAAUGUGACCAAGCAAGUUGUUGUGAGGUUUAUCAAGAAUUAGAUUAUAUGCUGGUAUGGUGUGCCAAGUAAGAUCAUUACUGAUAAUGGAUCUAAGUUGAAUAAUAAUAUGGUGAAAGCUCUUUGCAAUGACUUCAAGAUUGCACAUCAUAAUUCUUCUCCCUACAAACCCAAGAUGAAUUGGGCUAUUAAAGUUGCGAACAAGAACAUCAAGAAGAUCAUCCAGAAGAUGGUUGUGACGUACAAGGAUUGGCAUGAGAUGCUCUCAUUUGCUUUGCACGGGUAUCGUACAUCCAUCCACACUUCAAUAGGGGCAACCCCUUUUAUACUCGUCUAUGGCAUGGAAGUCGUGCUCCUGGUAGAGGUUGAGAUCCCAUCAUUGUGCAUGCUGAUGGAAGCCAAGUUGACUGAAGUUGAAUAGUGUCAAACCAGGUAUGACUAGCUGAAUUUAAUUGAAGAGAAGAGGUUAAUUGCCAUGUGUCAUGGUCAUUAUAUCAACAGAGAAUGAAGAAAGCUUUUGAUAAGAAGGUCAGACCUCGUGUAUUCAGGGAAGGUGACCUUGUGCUCAAGAAGAUUCUAUCUUUCAGACCAGAUUCUAGGGGUAAAUGAACUCCUAAUUAUGAAGGUUCAUAUGUUGUUAAGAGAGCCUUUUCAGGCGGUGCUUUGAUUCUUACAACUAUGGAUGGUGAAGAGUUCACGCGUCCUGUGAACGCCGAUGCAGUCAAUAAAUACUUCGCCUAAAAAGAAAAGAACAACUCGCUAAGUUGAAAACCCGAAAGGGUGGCUUAGGCAAAAAUGAGCGUCUCGAUGGAUUGAAGACCCGAUAGGGCUAUCCAGGCAAAAGUUAGAGACAUAAAACAGAAGAAUUAUCCCGAUAAAUUGAGACCCCACCUUGGGGAAAUUUAUGCAAAAAUUAGGGACUAUGACAAGUAACUACAAGCUGCUAAUCUCCAGUCUUAAAGACUUUCUUGAGCAUAAUGUUUGGUUCUAAUUCAUCCAAAGCCAAGAGCAUAGUGGAUAUCAAAAUUGGUAGAAGGAUUAGUGAUCAUUGUAUUCAAUGUAGCCCUUUUCCAUGUAAAUUACCAUUUUUCAACUUUUGUAAAGAUCUAUGGAGUCUUGUCAUUUACAGACUACCAUCCUAUUAAAUAAAGUUGAAAGUGAUCAUUGUAUUCAAUGUAGCCCUUUUCCAUGUAAAUUACCAUUUUUCAACUUUUGUAAAGAUCUAUGGAGUCUUGUCAUUUACAGACUACCAUCCUAUUAAAUAAAGUUGAGCUUUUUAUCCAGUUGUUUCUACUCUUAUUUAUUCAGCUAAAUAGAAUUAAAUUUUAUUGUGAUCAUUUUGAAAUCAAAGUUUUAAAAUAAAAAUCAUGUUUUCUUAAAUAAUAAAAGCAAUUACUUUUUAAAGAGCAAUCAAUUUUAGGAAUAUCCAUAGCGGUUUGAGAACAGGUAAGCCCUAAAGUGCGAAGCAUUGUUGGUUUUAUCCUUAAGCAGUAGGUGCGAUCUCUGUUUCUUCCCCAGCAGCAUUUCAGCAUCUCCAGCCGAAUUUUAUUGGCCUCCCCAACUGAGUUUGUAAUCGCCUCCCUCGAUUUGUAGGCGCAUUAUCGCGGUAAGUUGCAUAGAUUCAACAAAUUUUGUUUCCCCUCAAGUCACCAGCAGAGUUGUCCCUGACCCCGGUUAGCCCUGAUUCUUGAGCAAUAUUUUCGAUUCUCUGCGAGGUUGUCUACUAUUUGAUAUGGUGUUGACCUAAAAUUCCCCGCAGAGUUGAUGGUGCAGAUUUUCGGCAAAUCUUUUCCUCUUCCCUAGCCAGGGUUGAGCCUUUGAGGUGGAUGAUUCAUGUUCAUUCCUUUGCAACUUUUUUCUCUCUGACAUAUGCUUUCCUCCUGUGAAGAUUGGAUAAGUAUCGUCUUGGUGAUGCAAACCAGUGACAUUUGUAUCCUUUGUGAUCGUUUUGUCAUCAUAAUCGUCAUAUAUAUAUAUAUAUAUAAUAUAUAUAUACAUAUACAUUCAUAGAUUUCACCAUCGCAUUAAUAAUGCACUUUGUGAUUCAUUAUUUCUCUGAUCCUCUACUACGGUGGUAUCUUUUCCCCCCACGCAGAUUUGGUGUGCAUGUCCUCUUUCAAUUAUAAAGUGUCAGCCCCUUAAGCAGAAAGAAUUUAACAUUUCUCAUUCCCCACUGAGUUAUCUCCUCGUGGAUGAUCAUUAUUUCAAUUUCCUCCAUAGUUGAUUGUCUGGAUGGAACCAUUCCUCUUGAGCUACAUCCUCAUUAAGUUGAGUCUUUGAUUAACCGUUUAUUUCUAGAUCUUACCUAGAUAGAUGCUUUUGGUCCCCUGAUAGUCUAUUACCCAGUAACUGGUAAUAUUCUUCUCAAUUUGCAAGUAUUUCACUUCUGCCCCAAUACCCGGAAAAAGUAACCUUUUUCUCCCCAGCGGAUUCAUUUUCACAUCUCCUAGGAAGUUUAUCCUUGAUAUGUUCAUCUUAACCAAUGAUGGAUACUCUUUCCCUUCUGAGCUUAUCCUCGAUAUGUUCAUCUUGACCGAUGAUGGAUAUUCUCGUUUUGGUAUUCUACCCAGUAAAAAGGUAGUUGUAAUCCCUAUCUUGUUCCCUAGAAGGUUAAUCCUUGAUAUGUUCAUCCUAACUGGUGACUAAUGUCCUCUUCUUUGCGGGCUUCUACCCAAUAACUGAUAGUUGUAAAUCCUGCUUCCCCUUUUGCAGAGUCUAUCCUAGAUAUGUUCAUCCUAACCAAUGACGAAUAUUCUCUUUUCGGUAUUCUAUCUAGUAACUGAUAGAUGUAAUUCCUAUUUUUCCCCUCGGAGUCUAUCCUUGAUAUGUUUACCCUAACCGGUAACGGAUAUUCUUCAUAAUUCCCCAGGCGGUUUAUCCUUGAUGUGUUCAUCUUAACCGAUGACGGAUAUUCUUCCUUUUGAGUUUAUCCUUGAUAUGUUUACUUUAACUAGUGAUCGAUAUUCUCUUUCUUUGUGGUCUUCUGCCCAAUAGCCGGUAGUUGUAAAUCCUAUUUUUGAUUUGGUUCUUUCCUCAGCAAGUCAUCCUUGAUAUGUUUACCCUAACUGAUAACGGAUGUCCUCUCUGACAGAUUAUGUUAUCUCCUUACCCAGUAAUCGAUAGUGGAUAAUAUACUUCUGUUACUCCUGUGUUGAAGAUCUUUUCUUCCCCAAUUGAGUUUGAGUGUGUAUUUCCUCAGUGAGAUCGUCGUUUCCUGCUUGGUUCGAGUAUUUCGGCUUUGUUCUGUUCUACUCAUUUCCCCUGCAGAUUUCCCCUUUUAUCCCCGGUUGAGUCUUUCCAUAGAUUUAUUUUCAUGGAAUCCCUCGUGUCCCCCAACAGUUUUUAAGUCGUAGCAUGGCCUACACGUGACCUUUUUAUACUCCAGAGUCUUUGUCUCCUCAUUGAUAUUUCCUUACGGAAUGCAUUAUACUCCUACGGACCUUCAGUCUCUCUAGAAUCUUUUCCUUUGUGGCAACAUUUUCCCCACAGAGAUAUUUUUAACAUUUAUUCAUAUGCAUCAUAAGGUAUCUUAGGGACCAAAAUUUGUUUCUAGAUGUUGUUAUUUAAGUCCAUUCUACUGAGUCGAUGCGAAGAUUUUAACCUUCAUCUCCUCAUCUAGAACGUCCUUAAAUAGGGGCAUCUGUAAGACCCCAAUUUUGACCCUAAGAUCCCUCAUGUCAUCUCAUCAUAUGCAUUAGCAUUGGGAUCACACCUUGACAUCCUCCUUACCUCUCAUUCAUUGGGUUUGAAUUAGGAGAUAUCACCAAGCAUAAUUUGAUUGUAUCAUACUUUAUUUUUUAUCAUUUACUAACCAAAAUACCAAAAAAAUAUGUCAUUGUAUAGUUUAACUCUUUUGUAGGUAGUGGGUAUGUUCACCUAUGUUCUAUCAAGCUCAUAUCUAGGGUUUAAGACCCUCAAUGCAAGGAUCUCAAUCAAGAAUUGGUUUAUAUUGGCUCUAGAUAUCAUAUAUGGAUCCCCCAUGAUCUUCACAUGUUAUUUUGAUCAAGAAAUCACCAAGAGUUUGGAGUUGGUUUGCCUUAGAAACCCUAAUUCAUUUGGGUAUCUUAUGUGACUUCUUCAACAAGUUUCUUCAAUAAUUGAUAAAAUAUUUCAAGGUAUACUUCACAUUACAUCAUCUUAUGAAUAUAUGAUCCUCCAUGAGUCCCAAAAGUCAAGAGAAUAUCAAGCUAGCAAGUCAGUUCAUGGUGGUUGAUUAGAGAAAGUCAACUGGUCAAAACUGGGGUUCCCUAGACCCUAUCUCCUACAUUUUUUGUAAUAUGAAUAUGAUCAAAAGAUAAAAGUGACUCUAAAUGACAUUCCAAACAACUUUAAUGUUGAGGUCAAGAGCUAUUUUUGCUUGGAAAGUCAUUUUUUAUGGUGAAAGAUUAUAGGUUAUUUUGUCUGAACCCUAGUUUGGAGGUCAACUUCCCAAGACAAUAACUUGCUCAAUUUUUAUGAGAUGAAAGCCAUUAAAAUUUCAUGAUAAAAUUCAAUAUGUCUACUUAAACUUUUAUGUUUGGAGGAAGUUCAAAUUCAACUUUAAAAUACAUGUGCCAAGAGGAAACAUUAUAGGUCAUUUUGAGCCAAUACCAUUGAACACGUGAUUUUCCUCAACUUAUAAAAUGCAUAAAUCCUUCAUUAUAAAUCCAAAUUAGGUCAAAUUUGUGACCAAAUUGAAGGGAUUUUGAAUAGCUACAACUUUGAUGAAGGAAUGUUUCUUAUUUGAAGUCCAUAGAAAAAUUUAUUCAAGGUGGAAGAAGUGAACAUAUGGCUUGGUACUUAGAAUUUUUUUUGAUAUGUUUGAUUUUUCAAACUUCCACCUUAAAAUUAAUCAUGAUAAAAGCUUCAAAUGAAAAAGUGUUCAACAUGAAAGUUGUUCCUCUUGAUCUAAAAUUUCCAAAAAGUCCAAAAUCAUCUCAUUUGGACAAAGUAUGAGGUACUUGCGCAUGGGUUAAAGUUGAAGGACCAUUUGGAUGAUUUCAAGUUCCACUUUUCAUACACGAAUGCAUGGCUUGACAACAUGAUUUCAGCAUGGCUUACACUCAAUUUUGUACCUAAGUGCAUCACUUGAUGGGCUUAUCACACGCCCAUGCAAGCAUGCAAGAGAGAUUUUCAAACUUUUGCCAAAAAUGGAAGUGUGCAAUUAUCAAUCUCAUGGCCUAUAAAUAUGACCUCUCCUGCUCAGAAAUAAGGACCUCAUGCCCAAGCUUUGAUUCAGCAACCCCCAACCCUCACCAUUAAAGGAUAAGCUUGAAGAUUUUCUUUGAAAAUCGAGUUUCAAAUCUCCAACUGUUUUGAGAUUGAAACUCCAAGAGUCCAUCCCUUUCCUUGAUCCAUUUUCAUUCUAGCAAGCAUCUGAAGCAAGGCCAAGCAUAAUUGAAAGCAAGAUCGUGCCAAUCUGAAGCUCCAUUGAAGGUGAAUUAAAAAAAUUUUCAUCUCUUCGAUUCUCACUCAAUUCUCCACCAUUCUUGUUGAUUUUUGGUUAUCUGAAGUCCUACAAAUGUAGGCAACAAGAUUGAGUUGCUUUGAGGUCAAAUCGAAGCAACUCAGUUCAUGAUCCUCAAAAUUCAAAUCCCUGUAUCUUUUUAUAUACAUGGAAUUGGACAAAAUUGAAGUUAGAUUCAAGCUCCUGAGCAUUUUUCCUUCAAAAUAGUGUACUCAUUUUCCAUUUUUCUUUGAGUUUUGGUUGGACUAGUCCGAUGACCCUCACCGGAGAAGAUGACCGGAGCUAGGGCUCUAGUGGUGUGUUGGUUUGUCCAGAGCCAUCUGAUCUGAGUCCCAGGAUCUAAUCUCACGCUUCCAUUGUGAUUACCACGCGUGUGGAACAUUUGACUGAAGACCACAUGGAACGCGCAUUUUAGACAAUUUGAUCUGCCACCUCAAUUAAUGAGGGAGAUAAGAUGAUCCACGUAUUUUUGAAUUUCUGAUUUUUCAUUUUAAUUGCUUUAUUUUCAUUAAUUCAUAUUAAUUUCAUUAUUGGUCCAAAAAAUAUGGGGCUUUCACCAAAAAAUUCAAAUAUUUUCGUCUUCCAUUUUCUGAAUUAAAAUUAUUUUUUGGAUCAAUAUUGAUAUUUUUCAUGAUUUAAUUGUUUUUAUGCAUAUUUUUAAUUGUUUAAAAAUACUUUUGACUUUCCAAAAAUUAUGAUUUUUUUUGUCCAAGAUCCUUUGACCUUCAUUGACCUAGGAUAAAUCUCUUGGCCAUUUAUUUGGUGUUUUGAAGAGAUUUUAAGUUUUUGAUCAAACAUAAUUUAAUUUAAUGCAUUUUUAAUUGAUUUUUAAUUAUUUAAUUAUGAAUAAAUUGUGUUGAGCCAUUUUUAUUGACUUGUGAAGUUUCAGUAUUGUGUUUGAGCUUUGGUCAAGGUUAAUUUGACUUUUGUUGGAUUAAAAUCAUUGGAUUUAGGGGAUUGAUGAAAUGUACAUUUCAUCUCCCAAAAUGAAUGAAUGAUUUUAAUUUGAUAAAAUUCCUCCCAUGAUCAAUUUGUGUUUAUCUCAUUUCCCCUCCCUCUUCAUCUUCAAUCCCAUUUUAUCUCAUCCAUUUCAUUGACCAAUGAUAUCUCUAUAUCCUAAGGUUAGUUGAUUCAUAAACCAAUACAAGUAUGUAUGAGAUUAGGUCCACUCUUUUUGUCAUUUUCUUUUGAAGUGUGGUUUAUUAUACUAUAUCUCUAACAUGUAUUAACACUAAAAUUUAUAUUGCCCAGCCUCAGAUAGUUGUGACUUCUACAUAAGUCCAAUUACGAUUGCUUAACAUAACGCUAAAUUUUGACCCAAAAGACAUAGCAUUCUAGUAUGAGAUUGUAAGUCUCCCCCCUUUCAUGGUAUUAUGUGAAAACUUGGCCUUUUUUCCUUCCUUUGGAAGAUGUCUUGGUUCAAGAUUCAUGCUUGUGAAUAGAGGGUUAAGUGUUCUCCAAAGAAUGACUUAAACAAUUGAAAAGAAAAACAAUACUAACAUCUAAUCAACUAAUAUUUGACUAACCUUUAUUCUAUUUGCUUUUAAUUUCAAUUCAUUUACUUUAUGUCAUUUAGAAUUCAAGUCAUUUAUCAUUUUACCAUUUACAUAUCAUUUAAUUUGUUUAUGUUUAUGCCAUUUUCCAUUUGCUCAUUUGAGCCAUAUAUUGUGAUUAUAUAUAUUUGUUUGUGUAUCUUGUUUGUGUUUGUGACCUUAGGACCCUAAAAUACCUAAUAACAACAAAAACCCUAAAAAAUGUUUGUGUGGACUGUUGGAUUUGAUCUGAGCUUUGGACUUAGAAUUAGGUAACAUUCCCUAUGCAAAAGGACUUGGCCAAUGCCAAUUUUUCUGAGACCAAGUUUGAGCUUUCAUCUGAUGCUAGUAUUGGGAUCCACUUGAGUUCAUUUGCUACAUGGUCUUGAUGCAAGUGUUACUUUGGACCUGUGUCUAAUGCCUUAUUCUGAGCCAUUCAAGGAGUAUGUCAUCUGAUACAUGGGAGAUUAAGAAGAAGACUAUGAAGUUGCUAGCUUGGAUGUGACUAUCUUUAUUUGAUGUCAUGCUCUUCAUCUUGCUAUUCGUGUAUUGAUAUUGCUUGAUUUCCAAGUCCAAAGGAAAAAUGGGUUUCUAUAUGACACUCUUGUCUAUUGGAUUAGUCUCUUCAUCUCCUCCCAUUCUCUUAAAUUCCAAAUCUCUCCCCUCUUUCAAAAUAUUCUUUGUUUGUGAGUUUUUUUUAAAACUUAUACCUUAUUGCAAAUUAGAAACUUUGGCCUUAUGCCAUUGUAUUUUUUUAAUUUCUUUUCUUAAUCAAAUUUAUAAAUGAACUUAACCAUAUUUUGACUUAAAAUUUCAAAAGACAAAAAGAACUAACACUCAUUCAAAUUCUUUUAGGCCUUUUGUGCCUCUUUUAAAACUUAAACUUUUGUUAAAAGCAAUCCACUCAUUUUGAAAUUGUUACCACGAACUACGAGGUUUUGAUCCCUCAUUUUAUGUUGGUACGUAGGCACAAGUCCGAAGGUCUUGUCAAACAUAAAAAUAUAAUCAAUGAAUUAUUUUCUCAUCCCCACACUCUAUCUUUUCUCAAACAUCAUUUUAUACAAAAACACAUACACACAUAAAGAAGGACUCCCUAGGAGUACCUGAGACACUUUGGGUGCUAACACCUUCCCUCGGUGUAACCAACCCACUUACCUGUAAUCUCUGACAUUUUAUUAGUUUUAAUUUGAAAACUUCUUAUCUUUGGGUUUUUGUUCGUACUUUUCCCUUUUCCUUUGGAAACAAUGAAAGCGCGGUGGCGACUCUGGUUUAAUUGACGUUAAGUUUAUCCAUAGCUUGAUGGUCAUGAAUUUACCGCUACAAGGGGGAGGAAAUGACUUGAAGUACCUAGGUCAAUUGGAUCCUCUAAAUUUUCGAUUCUCUUACAAUUUUUUAAUGCAAUAGUAGCAUUAUUUCCUUGAGACUUUAGCAUAACAACACCGGGGCAAUCCAACAACUUAACAUUUUUGUCCAAAUGAACCUUUUGCAUUGACCUUGUUAAACCAGGAGUAGCACCAAUAUUAACAACAUGGCAUCUCUUUAAAUUGUUAAUAAGAUUACUCUUACCAACAUUAGGCAGUCCAACCAAACCAACAUUAGUUGACUUAUUGAUAUGUAAAAGACAAAGUUAAAAUAGAUACGAACCAUGAAUUAUAAGACUAGAAGUGAAGCUAGAAGAAUUGGGAGAAAAUAAAAUACCAUAUUAUACUAUGCCCCCAAUUAAUGAAGCAUAACAAGUUUUUUAUGCCAUGUUUAUCAUCCAACCAAGUUUUCUACUGCUACUCAUGCAUUUGGAAAGUUCCACAAUGUUUCCUUCUUAUGUUAUGGAAGAGUUUAUAAAGCUUGAUCAAAUAUAGUGUAUUGCAUAAGUUAGUUGGAAUGGAAGUGGACAUUUUAGAACUAAGUAUAUCUUGCUAUGAAAUGAACUUUAGGUCGUUCAUAUUUUUCCAAAAUUUUAAUUAAUUAAAUAUCAAUUUAAAUUAUUAAUUUUUUAAAAAAUUAUUUAAAAUAUUAAAUUAGUUAAAAAUAUUAUUAAAUAUUAAAAUAUUUUAAUCAUCAAUGACAAUUAAUUAAAAAUAUUUUUUUUAUUCUAAUCAUGAUUGUCAAGUAUGCAAAAGUAAAGGGGACCACAAAAAUUCAAAUAUCAUCAAAAUUAAGGAAUUAAAAUUAUUAGUUUUGUAAUAGGGGAUCAAUUAUUUAAAACGCAUAAUAAAAGAGAACGAAAAGUGUAUUUAAGAAGAAUUUUUUUUUUAAAACAACAACAAAUUAAAUUUUUUAAAUCAUAAUAGAUAAAAUUUGAGCCGAUAGAACAUUAACAUACAUUAUUACUUUUCACUUUCAUUUAAUGCUCCUUAAUGCAAUGCAACAUUGCUCAUCAUAUUUCAUUUUCACUGCCUGUAACUCUUUAAUUAAAAAAAAAUUACUACUUUUUCUUUCUAUAGCUAAUUUGAAGAUUAAUAAGAUUUAAUUGAAAUACACUUACACUGUCAGUUAAUCAUAGAUGUUGGAUGUUGAAACAAGUUUGACUUUUAUUUUAAAAAUCUAUAAAGUAAUGCAAACGGGUGAUGAUGAUGAACCGAUAUUGUAAAACUUUUUAUAUUGACAAUGUAUAAAGUAAUUAAUCUCAUAUUGAUACAUGGAUAGUGUACGGUAUGUAUUGGCUCCUCUUUGAUGUUUUACCGGACAUGUUCUAUUUUUAUUUUUUUUUAAAUAUGUUCUAUUUCUUUUAUUUAUAAUAUGAUCUUAUUUAUUUGUAAUUUUUUAAUAUGAUAUGUGUUUUUAUUUGUUUAUUUUAGUGAAAUACAACUUUUUUUAAAAAUUCAUUCUUUUUGUUUUAUUCUUCAACAUUUAUGAUAGUAUUUUAUAAUUUAUUUUUAUAUUAUUUUAUCUAUAGCUAAUAAGUAAUGAAUGUUAAUAAUAGAAGAAAUUCUAAUUUUAAUGAAUGUUUAAUAAUUUUUUUUUAGAGAAUGACUAUUCAUAAAUAAUUAUUGACUAUUUUGAUCAUAAUAUCGUGGAGAAAGACAUGUUAAAAGUUUAAAAAACUGGAAUUUUUUAAAAUGAAAAUUUUAUACUUUCACGUCAGAAUAUUGUAUAAAUAUAAUUUUUUCAAAAGAAGUUGAUAAAAAUGGAAUUUUUGAUAAAUUUCAAAUAUGACUUAUUUUCACGUAUAUAAAUUUUGUACUAGAGAAAGUGAGUUAAUAAAUUAAUUUUGUAUAAAUUUUAUACUAGAGAAAGUCAGUGAAUAAGUUAAUUUUAAAUCAUAGAUAGAUUUAAUUACCAUUUUUUCAAUAGAAUAAAACUCUAACGACCAUUUAAUACUUAUCCAAUAUCCCUGGAGCACUUGUUAAUGGUACCCAAUAAUUUAUGCAUAUGAAAUGUGUUUCUCAUUUUUUUUUCCACCUAAAUUAUAAAAUAAUUAUAAAUGAAAGAGAAACAAUAAGUUAUAAAAUAAGUAUAAAUAAUACAUAAAUAAAAGUUCUUUUAAAUAAUAAUUUUGAAACCUCACUAUUCUUUAAGAUUAAAUAUUCUUUAUAUAAUGUCUUUAAUAUUCUCAUCUAAUAAAUUAUAUUCGAUUAUAUUCAUUUAAAUUUAUUAUUUUACUCAUAUUUAUUAAUGCGUGAGACAUUUUUACGAGGAGGGAAAGAAAUAGAGAGAAUACGAAAUAAGAAUUACUAUUAUUGAAGAAUGAUUGUGAUACAAAACUGAAUUACAAAAUACCUGUUUAUGUACACCUAAGUAAUUUGACUACUAAGUAACAAAUAUAACAACCAUAAAUUCUAAUUAUCUUUUGUGCUUGAGCCAUAUACAACUUAGAUUAUAUUAUAUCUCAACAUAUUUCAUAUAAUCCAAGUUGUCGAAUAAACGCUAAUUAUAGUCGAUAUGAACCAUUCCUAAUUUCUUUCUCAAAUUCAGAAAUCUAUCGAUCUUCAAUCCUUUAGUGAAAAUGUCGGUCAACUGUGUUUCACUUGAGCAAUGUCUUACUUUAAGUUCACAUCGACUUACCUUCUAUCUUAAGAAAUAAAAUUUAGCUUCGACGUGCUUACUCCUUCCAUGAAAAACUAAAUUCUUCGCAAGAUUUAUGGUUGACUUGUUGUUGAUCUGCAACACCAUGAGUUUCUUUACUUCAACUUUCAUUUCUUCAGGCACAUAUCUGAUCCAAAUUGCUUGACAAGCAUCAUAGGAUUCUGCUAUAUAUUCAACAUCGCACAAUGAUAAUGCCACAACAAAUUGCUUUCUCGAGCACCACGAGAUUGGGACACCAAAUACUUGAAAGAAAUAACCAAUUGUGCUUCUUCGAUCUUCCUUAUCUCACUAUUAUAAAAAACACCUAUCACAAUGAUUGGAAAAGGUAUACCAUCACGCUGAAUCAAUCGUUGUGAGGUAAGGUGUGAUUGUAUGUAUGAUGCUUUCCACCAUGGUUGUGCAACCGUGAUUGUAUCUAUGUAGCUCGCUACCUACCAUAAUUGUUACUUUAAACAACCAUUGUUAUAUUCUUUAAUGCAUAAUAUUUAACAACGGUUGUACUAAACAACUAUUGUGAUAUAUACACUUGAGUUUAUUAUAAAUUAUGUAGAAUGUUUAUUUCGCAAAUGCUCACUAACCAUAUAACCUUUCAAUCUGCACUAGAACAUUAUAAUAUGACAAAUUAAGUUAUAUUAGAAGAACAAGUUCACGUUCAAUACUUGACAAAAGAUCUUCAACUCAUUAUCCAUAUUUUGCUCUUUAAUAGUUAGAACUCAAUUUGGUGAUUGUAGUUCUUCAACCACCCCUCUCUCCAUAUCCAAUUUUGUUUGCAAAGUAAAUAAUAUCUUGCAAACAAAAUUAGAGGUGGAUGGAAGGGUGGUUGUAGAUCUACAAUCACUAAACUAAGUUCUAACGGUCAAGGAACAACAUGCAGAUAAUGGUGUGAAGAAUUCUUAUUGAGAAUUGGAUUUGUACUUGUUUUUUAAUACAAUUUUAUCUGUAAUAAUAUAAUUUGCUAGUGUAGUAUGGAAAGUUAUAUAUUCGGUAACGGAUUGGAAAAACACUCAAACCACAUAAUAUAUAAUAAACUCAUCUUUUCAACAAACAUUAACAAUAUCAUUCAUCAAAAACAUUCAUCAACUACAAACACGAUACAACAAACAUAUCAAGUCAUAAAAUGCUUUAGAAACGUAUCAUACAUGUCCUAUAAUGGCGUGUCUAUAAUGAAAUAAAGAUGAAGUUAAAGAUGAAGUUAAAGUUAGAGUCGCAAACUUGUGUCUAUCUUGAAUGAAUGUCAUUCUGAAUCUUUGACAUAAGUUUGCAAUGCUAACUUUAGCUUCGUCAUCUUUAUUGAAAUAAACAUCCCUACAUAGCUUCUCCCUCUUUAUUGAAACAAGCAUCCCUACCUACAAGUCAAAACAAGGAGAAAGUUCAAACAUCACGAAACAAGUUAUUGAAAUAGAUUUUGAAAAAUAAAACUAUAGUGAAAACGAAUAUGUAAAUACCCAUUGGCUAAGAUUUGAUGUUAUGGUUUCGUUUUGGGGUUUCCAUAUGAGAGAGACGAGUGACAAAGUUGUUAGGGUUUCGUUUUGAGAGAGACGAGUGAAAUAGUUAUUAAGGUUUUGUUUUGAGAUAGACGAUUGUUAUGUACUGAAGCGAGAUAUAAUUUUGCUUAUAUGUAGCACAUUUCACCACAGUUGAAAAAACAUGGUGAUAUACAAGGUGAAUCACAUUAUUAUCAUGAUAAAUGGCCAAAUUAUUGGUGUUGGGAUUCGAACCAUUUCACUACGGUUUUUCUAUAUGACCGUUGUGAUAUGUCCUUUAGUAAAUACCAAAAAAAGCGCCAAAAAAUAAACUAUUAUUACGGUUAACAUCAUGAUCGUUGUAAAAUGGGUGUUACAAAAGGUCUAUUUUGUAGUGGUGCCUCCAUACCAGUCAACAUCUGAAUAGCAAGUAACCAUAACUUCUUUGCUUUCAGAGUCUCGUCAAAAUAGAAUUCCAUAGUUUAUCAAUCCUUUUAAGUAUCUCAAGAUUCUUUUUGCAACCUUCGUGUGUGACACCUUUGGUUCACUCGUGUAUUUGCUGACUAAUUUGAUUAAGAAACUUCAGGUUGACUAUUGCACACAUAUUUCAGAGAUUCGACAAUUUAUUUGAACAAAGUUGCAUCAACUUUGUCUUCCUCUCCAUGCUUCUCCAACUUCAAGUUUGGUUUGACAGGUGAAAAUGCAUGAGUCGGAUCAUCCAUCUGGAAUCUCUUGAGUAUCUCUUUGACAUACUUUAUUUGAUGUAGCAUCACACCUUGCUUCAACAUUUAAAAUUCCAUGCCUAGGAAGUACAGCUACUUUUCUAGAUCGGACAUUUCAAAUUCCUUCUUCAUUAUCUCUUUGAACUUCGACAGGUUAUCCAAGCUAUUUCCAACCGCUAGCAAGUCAUUGAGAUAUAAGCAUAUGAUUGUUAUAUCUUGUGUCGUAACCUGAACAUAGACACCAUACUCGGAUUUUCAUUUGACGAAUCCAAAUUCGACUAAGUAUGAGUCAAUCUUUUUGUUUCAUGCCCUAGGUGUCUGCUUAAGACCAUAUAGCGCUUUGUGCAACUUGUACACUUUCCUUACUUCCUCAUGAAUCACAAACCCACGAGGUUGUGUGACAUAUACCUCUUCAUAUAGAGGACCAUUAAAAAAAGGAUGAUUUCACAUCUAAGUGAAAUACCGACCAACCUUUUGCAUGCCAAGGCAACGACUAGUCGAACAAUCUCCAAUCUUGCUACUGAUACGUAUACUUCAUAGUAGUCAUCUCCUUCUCUUUGAAUAAAACCUCGAGCUAUAAAUAUUUCCUUAUGUCUUGCUAUCGACCCAUCAACAUUGUGCUUCAACUUGAAUCCCCACUUUACUUCGAUAGUUUUUGUAUGUGCUGGAAAUUCGACUAACUCCCAUGUGUUGUUUCUUUCAAUUGCUUGUAACUCUUCGAUCAUACUUGACUUCCAUUGUUUAUCAUUUAAGGUUUUGCUGUAGUUGAUUGGUUCAGCACCUGUAAGUAAGGAAAAAUGAACUAAUUCUCCAUCUGGUGUGACUUCAUCAUGACUAGUCACUCCAUAGUCUUGAAGUCUUGUAGGGCGAGAUCUAGUUCUUCGAGGUCUUUGACUAGUACUAGCUACACCAUCUUCAACUUCGAUUGUGUUAGGCAUGUAAGCAAAUGUUUCUACUUGGACUAGAAUAUCGACAAUAUCUUCUACUUCGACAUCAUUGCUUUCUCCUUCAAAAUCAUAACUCAUUAAUGGCUUAUCAAUUACAUAACUAGAAUUCCAAUCCCAAGUAGAAUUUUCAUCAAUCACAAUAUCUCGACUCAUCACGAUCUUCUUAUUAAUUGGAUUGAACAACAUGUAUGCACCAGUUUUAUGAUAUCCUACCAAAAUCAUAAGUUCACUCUUGUCAUCAAGCUUCUUUCUUCUAGCAUUAGGAACAUGCUUAUAACACAUAGAGCCAAACAGAUCUAGAUGACUCGCUGAUGGUCGUUUGCCACUCCAAACUUCUUAAGGAAUCUUGUUCUUUAACUUCUUGGUAGGGUACCUGUUCAAAAUAUAAACAGGAGUGGAAACAACUUCACCCCAUAAUGAUUUUGGAAAAUUCUUCUACUUCAGCAUGCAUCUCGGCAUGUUCAAUAUGACCAUGUUUCUUCUUUAUGCCAUUCCAUUAUGUUGAGGCGUGCAAGAAAUAGUUACCUCAUGAUCAAUACUCUAUUCUGCAUAGAAUUAUUCAAACAUCUUGGAUGUGUAUUCGCCACCUCCAUCUGUUUGCAAAACUUUGAUCUUCUUCUCACUCUGGUUUUCGACAAGUAUCUUGAAUCUCUUAAAGAGUUCAAAUACUUCUUCCUUUCGCUUGAUCACAUAGAUCCAUAACUUUCGACUAAAAUCAUCGACAAACGAAACAAAAUACACGUUUACACCAAUGGUAUGCUCUUCAAAUGGGCCACAUACAUCUGAAUAUGUACAAUUUCGAGUAUGAAGAAGGAUCUCAUUGGCAUAGUCAAAACGAAAGACUUUCUGGAUUGCCUUCCGACUAGACAACCUUCACAAAGUUUGUCGGGCAUCUCUAGACUUGGUAUACCAAUUACCAUAUCUUGAGUAAUCAGUUGAUUGAGUGAUCGAAAGUUCAAAUGUCCAAACCUCAAAUGCCACAACCAAUUAUGGUUGUGGUCGACAACCGUUUUUAGACAUUGUACUUCAGUCGAACUGAUCAUGGUCUUAAAUGUCCUGUUAUUCGACAAAGGAUAUUUCAAGACCAAAUUAUUCUGAGUGUCAAACAGUUCAAAGGCUCCAAUUUUCAUAAUCACUGAGAAACUUUUUUCGACCAGUUGUCCAACAUUUUACAGAUUACACUUCAGUCUAGGUACACAAAGUACAUCUUUGAUCAUAACUUUUCCUCCAUUACUCCUUUGAAUAACUAUGUCGCAAGUACCUUCUACUUGCAACAAGCUAUUAUCAACAAGUUUGACCUUGCUCUUCUUCGAUGAAUUGAAAUCUGUUAACCACACUUUUCGACCAAUCGUGUGAUUCGAGUAGCCUGGGUUGAGGAACCAAAUCUUGGGGUCGAUAUGGUCAUCUGCAACUGCACCCAAAAUCACCAUAUCUUCAAAAUCAUAUAAAUCGUGGCGUGCAAGGUUCGCUCUUUCCUCCUUGCCUUUUGUCGUUCCCUUAUCUUUAUUGUACAAUAACUAUUGACCAUACGACCCCAAUUUUCACAAUUAUAACACUACACACAUUUUUUCUCUUUGUCUUUAUGAUAGGAGUUUCCUUAUCCUCUUUUUGAGGAUUCAAAAGCCUUAUCAUCGACCUUAUACUUUUGAGGGUUCGACCAAGACUUCUUGCUCUGAGUCUUGUCUACUUUACCUUUACAUUUUUUGGAACCACCAUGCUUUUUCCAAGCCUAAUCCCGCAGUGUUUGUAUCAAAUCUUGAACGUCUUUCCUUUUGGCAAUCCUAAUCUCAUGCACCUCCAAAGAACCAACCAAAUCUUCUAAUUUCAUAGUUUAAAGAUUGUUGGAUUCUUGAAUAACUACGAUAACGUGAUCAAAGUGAAAGGUCAACAUACACAUUACCUUAUCAACUACCAUCUUAUCAGUUAGGGUUUCACCAUAACCCUUCAUGAGAUGAACGAGAUUCUGCACCUUCGACACAUAACCUGUAAUCUUUUCAUCUUCUCCCAUAUGCAGCAAUUCAUAUUGUCGUCGCAAAGUCUGCAAUUUUACGACUUUGACUUUCUCACCUCCUUCAUAGUACUUGACAAGAAUAUCCCAUGUCUCCUUUGCCGAUUCAACAUGAGAGAUCUUGUUGACAUUUGCCGAAUCUACUGUUGAUUGAAUGCAAUACGUAGCCUUACAAUCUUUCUUUUUUGACUCAUUGUUCGCGUCUUUUUGAGCAUCAGUUGAAUUAUCAGUAAGCUCAGGGACGCCAUUAGUAACCACUUCAAGGGUUUCGUGAAAGCCAAACAGAGAUUGCAUCUAUUUUCUCGAUUGGAUCCAAUUCUUGCCGUCAAGAAUUGGAAUAGAAUUCGAAAAGCCAUUAGUACCAUUCAUCUUUGCAGUGAUUGAUUAACAAACCGCGAUUCCGAAAACACGACCAUCGACGUGUGAUUCUUGAAAACACGAUCAAGAACCUAACCGAAACUCUAGAUACUAAUUUGUUAGUGCGUGAGACACUUUUACGAGGAAAGAAAGAAAGAGAAUAUGAAAUAAGGAUUACUAUUAUUGAAAAAUGAUUGUGAUACAAAAUCGAAUUAAAAAAUAUUUAUUUAUAUACACCUAAGUGAUUUGACUACUAAGUAACAAAUAUAACAACCAUAAACCCUAAAUAUCUUUUGGACUUGAGUCACAUAUAACUUGGAUUAUAUUAUAUAUCAACAAUAUUAAAUACAAUUUUAAAUCGAAUUAUUUAUGUUUGAGAAAAGCUAUGAUGACACUAAAAAGUGACAACCACACCGUAUUUUUAUACAGUUAGGCAUACGUUUAAUUUUUUUAUUAAUAUUUUUUCUUUCCUUGAUUUUUGUGUCACAAUGAAAAUGAUUUAAAUACGUUUAAUUUUUUUAUUAAUAUUUUUUCUUUCCUUGAUUUUUGUGUCACAAUGAAAAUGAUUUAUCAUGGCUACGGUGUAUAUACGGUGUAGCUGAUUUUAGUGUCAAGAUAGCAUAGCUGUUUAUGUUUUUAUGAUUAUUUAAAGUUAAACUCAUGUGCUAAACAUAUAGAGUAGCUAACUUUCAUGAUUAGGGAUGACUAAUUGAAUUUGAAAUAAUUUUGUACUCUUACUUGAGUUGUCAAUUGAAUUAAUAAUAAUAUUAUUAUUAUUAUUAUUAUUAUUAUUAUUAUGUUGUUUAUUUAUAAAAAAUGUAUAAACAUAUAAACAAUAAUAUGUAUCAGAUAAAGAGAAUCAUAUCAUUGAUAGAAAACAAAAAUAAUAAAUUCUUAAAAUAAAACAUUUUACUAUAUUAUAUAUUAACUUAAAGAUUUAACUAAUAUGCUUUGUUGACGAGGACCAUAUAGAUACCAUAUAAGCAUUCUAAAUAUUUUUUUUUAUAAAUUAAAAAUUACAAUUUAUGGUACAAUCAUAUUAUUGUUUUAUUUUAAAUUCUCUUAGUCAUUUAAUAAUAAAUGUCACCUUAAUAAAUUAUUAAUUAAUUCAAAAUGAGUAUAAGUCUUAUUUUUGAAACAUUAAUUAUUUUUUUAUUGAUUUAUUCAAUUAAUAAUUUCAACCUCAAAUUAAGCCAAAAAAAAAACCUCAACCUCAAAUGUCCCAUUUAAAUUAUGCAUUAUUUUUUAAAAUGAAUUAAAUUGAAUUAAAAAAUAAAUUAGUAUUAUUUACCGAAACAUUCUGAUUAAUUAUGAAUUUAAAAACAAAAAUUAUAUUAAUGAGAUUAAAAAAUAUAACUUAAUAUUCUAAAGUUAUAAUUGUUUUGAAAUAGAGAAAAAGAAUAAAUGUGAUAUUUUUUUUAUAAAAAAUAGAAAUACAUUGUAUACUUCAUUAAAAAUAUUAAAAUAUGAAUUUAAUUGAAAUACACUGUCAUAGUAAAAUAAUUUUACACUGUCACUUAAUCAUAGCCGUUGGAUGUUGAAAUUUGACUUUUAUUUUAAAAAUAUAAAAAGUAAUACAAAUGGGUGAUGAUAAUGAAUCGAUUCUGUAAAAUAUUUUACACUGACUGUGUAUAGUAAUUAAUCUUUUAAAAUAUUAUAAUUUAAAUCCUAUUUAUGAUGCUGAAAGUAUAUGAAUAAUCAAUAUGUCAUUCUUUAUGAUUUUAAUCUAAAUUUUUUAUUUUUAAAUACAUUAAAUAAUAAUGUAUCUAAUUCAUAUAUAAUUCAGAUAUAUUUAUUAUUAAUAAAUAAUCUUUUUUUUAAAAAAGAUUAGAGGGAGUAUUAAUAAAUUUUUAUAAUUUCUAAAUAUUUUGUAUCUGUUUAUAUCGUAUUUAUUUAUUACUACCAUAUAGUAUAAAAAAAUUAAAAGAUAUUUAUUUUAAAAUUUAUUACUACCAUUAUUUGUUUUUGCUGUUUAGUUUUGUUUUACACAUGUAUGAUUGUACGGUCUCGCUUAGCUUCUCGUGAGACGAGUUUUACGUUCCAUUAUUGACUAAAUACACUCACCCGAGACAAAUGCCUCAUUACCAAACACAUAACUAAACCCUUAAAACAAACAAAACGACAAAUUUUACGUGGUCCCCACAACGAAUACUUACAAGCGCGUGUUCUCACAUCCUCGUAAACAUCAAAACCCCAAUUUCACGCGAGAAAUUCCAAAUCAACGAGAAAACACUAGCAUAAAUAGUGUUGAUAAAUUAAAUAAAUUAAAUUAAAAUAAUAUUAUAUUAAAAAACAAAAUAACAUAGUAUUAAUUUUUAAUUGAUCCAAUAAUGAUUGAUUUUAAAUUUGAUAAAAAAAUCAUGAUUCGAUCCUCCACUACUGUGAUAAAAUUAAAAUUAAUCGAUCUAAUGGACCAGAUUUGAUAUUUACUCUCAAAAUAAAUAAAUAAAGAAAGCGAUGGUAGAGAAAAGAAAGUGUUUCGAGUGGACGUGUGUUGGAAUAUUCACUAGAUUUUAAUUACUAGUUUCGAAUCCGCAAAACUCUCUAAACUUAUCAUAUCAAAUACGAUAAGUUAUAAUGAGAAUCAAACUAGCUUAUCAGAUAAGUUAUUGUACUUAUCACUGAUAGGUCAGUAGAAAAUGAAAGACCCUUCUGUGUACAUUAUAAAUGCAUCGAAGAUAGCGAAACGGAGUCUCUUUUAUUUCUCUCUCCUCUUUCUUAUCCGCAGUCUUUCAAACCCUAGAAUUUCUCCGCUUGUAAUAAUUCUCUUGGAUUUUCACGUUUUCGACGCUGUAAGUUUAGAUUUCGAGUUUGAGUUGCUUAGUUCGUCUUUAAUUUCUGUUUUGUUGCUGGAAUUGAAUUUUUAUACUGUUUUUUUUUUGGUGUUUGAAAUUGAAGAUCGGUGUUUAUAGAUUUGUGUGGCUCGGAUUUGAGUGCCGGGGAUGACUUCUUUGAGCAGAGAGUUGGUGUUUCUGAUACUCCAGUUUCUGGAAGAGGAGAAAUUCAAAGACUCUGUUCACAGGUGAUUUUUCUUGUCUGUUGUUGUUGUUGUGCAAAUUUUACUGUUUCGGUUUGAAAAUUGUUUUUUUUUUGAGUUUAUCAUGAUUUUUGUUAUUAUUUAUUUAAUUAAUUAUUAUUAUUAUUAUUGUUGUUGUUGUUGCUAUAUAGAUGAACAUUAUUUUUUUGAUAUUGAAAGGUGUCAUUGGUAAUCAAUUAAUCUAUCUGUGUAGUAGUUUUGGUAUUUAGCUAUGUUUUGGAUUGUGAAUUGUAUUGGAAUUGGGAUUAAUAACAAAGAUAUGAAAGGAAUGAUUUUUUUUCUUUCUUUCAAUUUUUGUAUUAAUUUAAGGCUGAUUUCUUUGUAAAUGGAAAACUGAGUCAUGAGGGGAAUGGGUGCAUGGUAGUGAAUUUAUCGUAAUCUAUUGAUACGUUAAUAGACAAUUACUUUCUGCGCAUCAAAAUUGUAUCUUGUUUAUUAAACUUUGUAUCAAGAUCAGUGUUUUUAAAUAGCGGCCAUGGUGGAUAUACAUGGCAGUUUUUGGGCUUGCUGCAAUGGUAAAUAUUGGCCGAUAAUCCGCUAUAACGGCGCCGCAAAGCUGCUGGGAUGGUGGGAUUUUGGCUUUCUACCAUGGACAACACCGAUCAAGAUUGAAUAUUAUUGCCAGAUUGAUAGGGUUGAACUUGCCCUACAAAAUGUGGAAAUAAACUUAUUUUUUGAAUAUGAAAGCCGUACUUAUCAAGUGCAGCUCUUGUAAUUUUUGUAAUGGUAACAAGGGCUGAGAUUCACCAUCCCUUCACUUAUAAAUUGGAAUGUAGAUGAUAAUAAAAUUAACUGAAAACGCUCUCUUUCAUUGGUGAAUGUUUCCCAUUUUGUACCUCAUCAUUACAACUUAUUCUUUCUUUAUAAUGCUUGUUUACCGUGCAGGCUUGAGAAAGAAUCCGGGUUUUACUUCAAUAUGAAAUACUUUGAGGAAAAAGUGCAGGCCGGUGAAUGGGAUGAAGUUGAGAAGUAUUUAUCAGGGUUUACCAAAGUGGAUGAUAAUAGAUACUCCAUGAAAAUAUUCUUUGAAAUCAGGAAAAAAAGUGCAGGCCGGUGAAUGGGAUGAAGUUGAGAAGUAUUUAUCAGGGUUUACCAAAGUGGAUGAUAAUAGAUACUCCAUGAAAAUAUUCUUUGAAAUCAGGAAGCAGAAAUAUCUGGAAGCACUCGAUAGGUAUAUAUUAUUACCUACAAUUCUUAAUCCUUUUCGGAUUUUUCUACUUGUAUCUGUGUUUAUUAAAGUACUUAACAUGUUGCUUUGUCUUUGAUGUUUUGAAAUUUUAGGCAAGACAAGGCAAAGGCUGUUGAGAUAUUAGUGGGUGAUUUAAAAGUAUUCGCCACCUUCAAUGAAGAACUAUACAAAGAAAUAACCCAACUGUUAACUCUAACUAAUUUCAGGUAAUGUGUUGGAUACAUAGUCUGGUGCAAUACAAUACUGUUUGUAUGUCAUAUCUUAUCUUGUCUGUUACAUUGGUGAGAAAAAUGAAGUUAAUCUAGUGUGACUCGAACAUUAGUAUUCUUGAAAUAUUCAUUCGAGACUCAUAAAAUGAUAACAGGGUGGAGAUUGUGAAGUACUAAGUUUAUCUAGUUGUGUUAUAUGCCUUUUAUGACCAGUAGACUUACCAGAUUCAUUAAGCUGCAAGACUGAUAAGUUUUUCCUUUUCAUUUCAUAUAUCAGGGAGAAUGAGCAGCUGUCCAAGUAUGGUGACACCAAAACUGCUCGAGGGAUUAUGCUGUUAGAGCUAAAAAAGCUCAUAGAGGCAAAUCCUCUGUUCCGUGAUAAGCUUAUCUUUCCAGCAUUGAAGUCGUCAAGAUUGCGGACAUUAAUCAAUCAAAGGUAUAGAUGCUACAAUAGUUGAUAAAUGUUCAGGUUAAAGUUUUCAACCUAGUCUCACCCUGCCCACACAGUUCAUUAGUAUUUUCUGUGUUUUCUAACUAACUGCUUCAUACUUAAUUGGGGUCUCUUUGCAUGGAAAAUGGUAAGAAGUUUUAGUGGCUUUUGCCUUCCUGAUAAAUACAAAUACUAUAUCUCUUUGACUUUUGCAUGAGAUUUUAACUCCUUACAUAAAAUUGAUUGUUGAUUAGAUUACUUGAUUAAUGAUAAGAAUUUAGAAGUUUGACCUCAUUUUUCAUUAAUUUUUAAUUGUUGGAUUUUGUGUGUUAUGCCUUGCCUUCUCUAUUAUUAAUCCUUCUCCACCUUUCGUUAAUUCAGUUUGAACUGGCAGCACCAGCUUUGCAAAAACCCAAGGCCAAACCCAGAUAUAAAAACUUUAUUUAUCGAUCACUCAUGUUCACCUUCCAAUGGUCCUCUGGCACCAACACCUGUCAAUCUUCCAGUUUCUGCUGUUGCAAAGCCUGCUGCUUACAAGGCCAAACCCAGAUAUAAAAACUUUAUUUAUCGAUCACUCAUGUUCACCUUCCAAUGGUCCUCUGGCACCAACACCUGUCAAUCUUCCAGUUUCUGCUGUUGCAAAGCCUGCUGCUUAUACUUCUCUUGGAGUGGGAGCUCAUGGUGUAUGAUACCCUGCAUUUCAAAAAUUGGUUCCUUUCACUUAUAUAUUUAAUUUUUCAUGCUGAUUAAUGAAUAUUUUGUUUUCAUUUCUUUCUUUAGCCCUUUCCACCUGCCGCAGCAACUACUAAUGCUAAUGCUUUGGCUGGUUGGAUGGCCAAUGCCUCAGUUUCGUCAUCUGUCCAAGCAGCUGUUGUCACCGCAUCAACCAUACCUGUCCCACAGAAUCAAGGUUAAAAAUUUGGUUCUCUUUUUUCCCUUUUAUCUUAAAAAAAAUGUGAUUACCUUAAUUUUGCCAAUAACACUCGCAUCAUAAGUCCCAUUAAACUUUAUUCUACACAUCCUAGUUUUGUCACUUGUUUAACUUCAUUUAAACAAAAUUAUGGUAACUGUGUCCUAGCAGUUCAAAUUGCAUUUAUAAAACAAGUGAGCGGGAUAGCAUGUUCUGAAGUUUUGCUUAGUAUUUUAGAUAUUCAAUAACCUCGGUGUUAGAGGGUGUCGUGAUUUGUGCUCCUGUCAUUUGGUUAACAGUGUCUAUCUUGAAGCGUCCAAGAACACCUUCAACCACUCCUGGCAUGGUUGAGUAUCAGAAUACUGAUCAUGAACUGUUAAUGAAAAGACUCCGGCCUACUCCUUCUGUGGAGGAGGUAAUAUCAGUAAUCUUCUGUUUAAGAUAUGAUUAGAUUGGAUUUCUCCACGCACAUAAAUUGUACGACUCAUCAAUGUUCAUUUCUGUUAUCUUAGGUUUCUUAUCCUUCGGCUCGACAAGCCUCUUGGUCGUUGGAUGAUCUUCCAAGAACAGUAGCUAUGUCUUUGCAUCAAGGAUCCUCUGUGACAAGCAUGGAUUUUCAUCCUUCUCACCAAACCUUACUCCUCGGUAUUUCCUAUAAUUUUUUGUUCACGUAUAAUGUUUCACUACUAUAAUCCGGACAAGUAUUAUAUGACUGCAUUUUUGCAUGAGCAGUUGGUUCUAACAAUGGAGAAAUUUCGCUUUGGGAAAUUGGGUUGCGAGAAAGGCUGGUGUCAAAACCAUUCAAGAUAUGGGACAUAUCAGCAUGCUCAUUACCAUUUCAGGUUUGAAUCUCAUUUGUUAAUGAGUUUCACACUGUUCAGUAUUUUCUCUCUGUAGUACUAUGGGGUCUUUGUUUCUUUGAGAAUUGAAAACCAUUGGAAUCUUAUAGUUGAGAAUCUAAUUUCACAGGCAGCUAUGGUCAAAGAAACACCUAUUUCUGUCAGGCGUGUCACAUGGAGCCUUGAUGGAAGUUUUGUGGGUAUGUUAUGUUUUAAAACAUAUUUUGAAGCUGUUUGAUUCAAUAUCUAACUGGUUGCUUUGGUGUAGGUGUUGCAUUUGCUAAACAUUUGAUUCACAUAUAUGCUUUCAAUGGAUCAAAUGAGCUUGCCCAGCGUAUAGAGGUGAAUUAUUCUUAUAAAGGUAGCUAAAGUUGUAAUUGCAGUUUGAUUUAUAUUUCUUUCUUGGUGUAGAUUGAUGCCCAUAUUGGUGGUGUGAAUGAUUUGGCAUUUGCUCAUCCAAAUAAACAACUCUGUAUUGUGACUUGUGGAGAUGAUAAGUUGAUUAAGGUACACAAGAUCUACAAAUUGUCAUUUUUUAUUAUGCAAAUAAGUUGUCUAUUUUUUCUGAAAAGGAAAUUCUUAUCAGGUGUGGGAUUUAACGGGACGAAGGUUAUUUAACUUUGAAGGGCAUGAGGCUCCAGUAUAUUCUGUCUGUCCUCAUCACAAGGAGAACAUUCAGGUAGGAAGAGAUAUAUACUUUUCUGUUCGUUUAUUCUUUGGAAGGUAUCAUGCUGCUUUCCAUAGAUUAUAGUAAUUUGGUAGUUUUGUUAUUACGUAACUUUAGCCAUCUGCACUGAGAUUCAUGAUUUAAUUUAUGAAGAUAUAAAAACAUCUUUAAUUCAUUGUAGUCACUAGAAAGUUGCAGUUUGCAAUUCCUCAUAGUUUUGUGUCUAUUGGAUCAGUUGUUUUUCAUCAAUGACUUUGAAGUCAGCACUCCACAGUUUAAAUAUGCACUUCCGUACUACUAAUCCUAAUUGAGCAGGCAGGACCAUAGAAUUGUUUAUAGGAUCACUACUAAAUCCCCUCGCCUCUUGUACAUUGUCAUUGACAUUACGAUUUCUGCUACGUCAACAAGCACUUCAAAUAAGACACAUUUUCCGGCAUGUCCUACAUGCAGUUUUGCUGUACAUAAUCUUCUAGCAUCUUGGUUUUCUGGGCAGGGGUAGAAUUUUGAAGCCAAGAGAAUUCAGAAGCUUGGUUUUAAAAUUUUUUUGUUAGUUUUUUAUUUUGGAAAAAAAGUAUCAUAUAUAAAUGCUCCCAAUAAUAAAGAAAGAUGGAAACAUGUUUUAUUUCUUUCCUAUCUUUCCAGCACCAUCUUUUAACCCACACUUCCAAUUUUUUCAUUAUUAAUUUGAUUCUAGGAAUCUCAAGCGCUCUUUGUUUGCAUGAGUUUUGUAUGCAUUUUGUCUAUAAUGGUAUUAUUCCAUUAAAACUGCCCAAUGUUACUAAAGUUUGUUAUUGAAACUUCACAGUUCAUAUUUUCAACAGCCAUUGAUGGCAAAAUAAAAGCUUGGCUAUAUGAUAAUAUGGGUUCUAGGGUUGACUACGAUGCCCCUGGUCACUGGUGUACUACAAUGCUUUAUAGUGCUGAUGGAACAAGGUAAAAGAUUUUAAUGGGGAUAAUUAUCAAAUUGUCAGAUUACUGUGAUGUAUUAAAUGGAAAACUGUAUCAACAUGCUGUCUUUUUUUCUCACCCUAUUUCUCUAGAUUAUUUUCUUGUGGGACAAGUAAAGAUGGAGAGUCAUUCCUUGUUGAAUGGAAUGAAAGUGAGGGAGCCAUUAAGAGAACAUACAAUGGGUUCAGAAAGAAAUCUACCGGUGUAGUCCAGUUUGACACAACCCAGAAUCGCUUUUUGGCUGCUGGUGAAGACGGCCAAAUAAAGUUUUGGGACAUGGACAAUGUUAAUCUUCUAACAAGCAUCGAUGCAGAGGGGGGACUACAGGUGGGCUUGACUGUUUUAAGUAUUCUGGAACAUACCUUGCACUUCACGAAACAUCCCUCACAUGAUUGUGUGAAUUUAUUCAGGGACUUCCACACUUGAGAUUCAAUAAAGAAGGAAAUCUUCUUGCUGUCAGUACCGCAGAUAAUGGAUUCAAAAUUCUCGCUAAUGCUGGUGGUCUUAGAUCCCUAAGAAUAAAUGAAACCCCAGCAUUUGAAACUUUGAGGUCUCCCAUUGAAUCUACUGCAAACAAGGUUGUGCUAUAGUUCUUUGCUUUUCUCUGGUUCUUGUUAUUUGGAUCAAAACAUGAAUUAACAAGUCUAUUAUGUUUGUUAUUUAGGUAUCUGGCUCUUCUGCUGUUAAUGUUGGUCCUGUCAGCUGUAAAGUGGAGAGGAGCUCCCCUGCGAGGCCUUCUCAGAUUCUUGUAUGGAGCCCAAUAAUCCUUUCCUUCUCCUAAAUUCCUCUCUUAUUAGGAACCCAAGAAUUCUAAUUUUCAAGAAUUGGUAAAACAAACUCAAUUGAAUUAAGAUAACGAUUGCAAACAAUUGAAGAAUUUUUUAUUUGUGUAAUGAGAUUGAAAGAGAAGAUACCAAAGGUCGAGAAUGAAGUUGUGUGAUAAUCUCACUCAAGGCUAUCCCAAAGGAGCACUCUCCUUUUACUAGAGCUUUUUCUAGUUGCAAUUUAAUUAUUCAAAGCUAUCUUUCCCCUCUACCAAUUGAGGGCUUUUUAAAGACUUUCUAAGAAUAGCCAACGUAACAACCCUUAACAAACUUAUCAUCCAACUAACUCUUAACUACUGUACAUGUAAUUAUCCAAUAUUUUUUAUCCUAACCAUCUCUCCAACACAAUCCUUUUUUCCCUUGAUACCACCGGCCACUCAAUAGCUCUCCUCUGGACCCUCCUUCUUUCUAGAAUAUACUAUAUAAUUUCCAUUUUACUGGCUUCUUUGGAUAACAUAGUUAACUUGUUUACAACAGAUUGAUGGUUUUUCUAUUUUCAAUACAGAAUGGAGUUGAUCCUACGGGUAGAAAUGCGGAGAAACCCAGGACAGUGGAAGAUGUAAUAGAUCGAACUAAAUCAUGGCAGCUCUCUGAAAUUGUGGAUCCUGUCCACUGUCGACUAGUUACCUUGCCUGACAGCCUAGAUACUUCCAGCAAGGUUUGUUGACUGUUGAUUAUGUGACAAUGAGCAAGCUAUUUCUCUAUUACAAAAUGUGUUCUGUGAACUUCUGUAACACUGGAGCAUGUAUAGGUCGUUCGACUUUUAUAUACAAAUUCUGGAGCUGGUAUUUUGGCCCUUGGUUCAAACGGUGUUCAGAAGCUGUGGAAGUGGUCGCGGAAUGAACAAAAUCUUAGUGGGAAGGUAAAGUAAUUAUUUACCUGCAUCUCUCUCUAGUCCUUAAUCUAUAAAGCUUUUUUAUUAAUGUUUCCCCCUUUCAAUAGUUAACUAAAUUCUGAAGUGUAUAUUUUAGGCGUCUGCCAGUGCUGUUCCGCAGCAUUGGCAACCCAACAGUGGUCUUCUUAUGACCAAUGAUGUCUCGGGUGUCAACCUUGAAGAAGCUGUUCCUUGCAUUGCACUCUCAAAAAAUGAUUCAUAUGUUAUGUCUGCAUGUGGGGGAAAGGUUUCUUUAUUUAACAUGAUGACAUUCAAGGUAUGUGCGCUGGACAGCUGGAUAUUCAUAAUUCGUCUAGUUGCUAAGUUUACCUGUAAUUUAUAGUUUACUUUCUUAUAGGUAAUGACAACAUUCAUGUCUCCACCUCCUGCUUCUACGUAUCUGGCUUUCCACCCUAUGGAUAAUAAUAUUAUAGCCAUUGGGAUGGAGGAUUCAACUAUUAACAUUUAUAAUGUUAGAGUGGAUGAGGUGAUUACUACCUUCAAUUGCUUCCAUCAUUUUAAGAGUUAAAUUAUUAUUAUUUCAUAAUCUCAUGUCUUUUCUUGGGAUAUCUUCUAGGUGAAAUCAAGAUUGAAGGGUCACCAAAAGCGGAUUUCUGGUUUAGCUUUCUCAACCAAUCUUGGCAUCUUGGUUUCAUCUGGUGCUGAUGCUCACGUAUGUCUUUUAACUGUUCUUUCAUGUUAGAUUCAGAAUGACAUGAGAAACCUCUUAUUCAUAUUAUUAACUGCCCAACAAUAAUAAUUUAUUUUGGAGAUCUCUUUGUUAGUUAUCUGUCAACAGUUUUGCUUCCUGUGGUAUAAAAGAUAAUAAAACAGCCUUAUAUUUUCUGAACUAGUAUAUACUUCAUAUAAUAUUUUAUUGUUGUGUUUCUAAGCAUACAGUGUGCAUUUUGAAAACCAUUAACUCAACUGAAAUAAUUUCUGGACAGCUCUGCGUGUGGAGUAUUGAUACAUGGGAGAAAAGAAAAUCCGUUCCUAUACAACUACCUGUGGGGAAGGCUCCUGUUGGUGAAACUCGAGUGCAGUUCCAUUCAGAUCAACUCCGAUUAUUGGUAUCCCACGAGACCCAGUUGGCAAUAUAUGAUGCCUCUAAGAUGGAACGCAUUAGACAGGUAAAAUUAUACUUUUAGUUAGUAUUACUGAGGUGACUGCUGGGCUGUUGAUGAAAUUAAAACUGAUAUAUCUUUGUGCAUUAAUUGUUGCAGUGGGUUCCACAAGAUGUUCUCCCUGCUCCUAUAUCAUAUGCAACCUAUUCUUGCAACAGUCAGUUAAUUUACGCUACAUUUUGUGAUGGCAAUACUGGGGUUUUUGAUGCUGACAGCUUGAAACUAAGAUGUCGCAUUGCACCAUCAACAUACUUCACACCUGCAACUUUGAACGGGUAAGUUUCAGUGUAACGGACUGGACCCAGCUUUUAGUUUUUAUCAUAUUGAACGUUGAACAUUUAAUCAAGGAUGUGUUGUGAAAUCUUAGUUUCAAUUGUGUUCACGAUUGUUCAAUAUUUGUUUUGGAACUUGACUCGUUAGCGGUGUUGUAAAAUAUGAUAUUGCAGAGGCCAAGCUGUGUAUCCUUUUGUUGUGGCAGCUCAUCCACUAGAGCCCAACCAAUUUGCUCUUGGACUGACUGAUGGGUCAGUGAAAGUGGUAGAGCCGAAUGAAUCAGAGGGAAAGUGGGGAUCUAGUCCCCCUAUGGACAAUGGAAUGAUGAACGGUAGGACAGCAUCAUCUACAACAAGCAACCAUACGCCCGAUCAGGGCACACAACGAUAAGAACAUUCAUUGUAUCAUAAUAGCAUAUUCUUUCCAUCUGUAAGUUUAGCAGCUUAGAUAUUUAGAUUUUGAGUAUCCCUUCUCAUUUGCCCCUCACCAAUGUCUGGUAAAGGUCAGCUUGGACAUAAAAAAAAAGGUUAAAGUUUUAGCUGUAAGCUCUUGUACAUGGUCACAGCUCUAGCACAUUGGUUGUACUUUACUGUAGUGCAGUGUUUUUUUUUGUUUCUUGAUAACAAUGUGAAUUUGUGCAUUCUCAAAUUUGUUUAUAUGAAAUUUUGAUCAAAUAGAAAUUAUAUAUUGCAACUUAGGAAAUGUUGGAAAGAAUCCCCUCCCCUUCCUACUGAGUAUUGCUAUAUAGCCCGAAAUGAGACUCAAUAACAUGCACAGUUAGAAACUAGUUAAUAUAAUAAUGAUAGCCAGACGGUUGGAGGUGAGAUAUAGUAGGGGUUGGAUCUGGAAGGUUCAUUUGUAAUGCACACCAUUGAAUGAUGUUUACCGCAUGCGGCGGCAAUAUGUGAGUGGUUAAGAAACACAUGACCCUUCUUUAUUUUGUGAGUUUCUUACGAGUCUAGGGAAGGACUUGAGGUUGAAGAUUAAAAUGAGUUGUGAAGAACAAUGUGUUUUCUUCCGGGGGAGUUUUCAAUCCAUCCCCAAAAAUGUGGGGAUUUUACCGAAAAGAUUCUUCUAUAGUGUAUUUUGGUAGAUUAUAUACAUGAAAAAUGAAUUGAGAGUCUCUCUUUUUUUAACGGGAAGAUAGUGUUGGAAAUUUAUAAUUGGAGAAUUUUUAUUAAUCUUAUUCAUGUUAUCAACCACACAAUAACAAUGAAAAGAAAUGAAUGAUUGAGAAAGAAAGAAAAGAAUGUUGAAGAAGAAUAUUUUCUGUAGAGUUUUUCCUCUGUCCAUAACCAGUGAAAAAUUCUUUAUUCAUUUUACAUUUGUAAAAUUAUGUGAAUACAAUGUUAUGAGUUCUUUCUUCUCUUCAUCUUUUUACAAGAAUAAGGGUUACUCCAUUUAUCUAUAGAUUUAUGUUAAUUUGCUUCCUAAGCCAAAGUCCAAAAUAUAAAAGCACAAAAUAGUUGACACUAGGCCUAAGUUGAAAUCCUGUGUGAAGCAACAUGCUUCGACACUUUGAUAUACUAAUACAAUUCGACACACUAGGUGAUUCGACACUUCCUUCUUCUAUUGAGCAAUCUGCUUCAGCACAAGGAAUUACAAUUUAACAUACCACCUAAUUCAUUGUGUCUAAGCUAUCUACAUUCAUUAUCACUCUUAGUCUUAUGAACACUUUGACCUGCACUCCCUUC
rnacentral:lncRNA from 1 species